UCCUAGUUAACCUAGGCAGUCUCAUUAGAGUUCCCGCCAUUACGCGCUGGCAACUAAUGAUAAGGGUUGCGCUCGUUGCGGGACUUAACCCAACACCUCACGGCACGAGCUGACGACAGCCAUGCAGCACCUAUAUAGGCGUCCUUACGGAAACUAUCAUCUCUGAUAGCGCCACCUACAUUUCGAGCCUGGGUAAGGUUCUUCGCGUUGCAUCGAAUUAAACCACAUGCUCCACUGCUUGUGCGGGCCCCCGUCAAUUCUUUUGAGUUUCACCCUUGCGAGCGUACUCCCCAGGCGGUAUACUUAUCGCGUUAGCUUCGACACAGCCAGGGUUGAGCCUAGCUACAUCAAGUAUACAUCGUUUACGGCAAGGACUAC
rnacentral:misc_RNA from 1 species